UCCGGUUUGGCACCGGCAGUCCUCCCAGAGUCCCCGCCAUAACGCGCUGGCAACUGGGAGCGGGGGUUGCGCUCGUUGCGGGACUUAACCCAACAUCUCACGACACGAGCUGACGACAGCCAUGCAGCACCUGUGCACGGGCUCCGAAGAGGGCCCCUGGUUUCUCAGGGGUUUCCCGUACAUGUCAAGCCUAGGUAAGGUUUUUCGCGUUGCAUCGAAUUAAUCCACAUAAUCCACCGCUUGUGCGGGCCCCCGUCAAUUCCUUUGAGUUUCAGCCUUGCGGCCGUACUCCCCAGGCGGGGCACUUAAUGCGUUAGCGCCGGCCCUCGGGGGGUCGCUCCCCCAAGCGCCUAGUGCCCAUCGUUUACGGCGUGGACUAC
rnacentral:misc_RNA from 1 species